rnacentral:rRNA from 2 species
CUUAACAUGCAGUCGACGGCAGCACGGGGGCAACCCUGGUGGCGAGUGGCGAACGGGUGAGUAAUACAUCGGAACGUGUCCUGUAGUGGGGGAUAGCCCGGCGAAAGCCGGAUUAAUACCGCAUACGAUCUACGGAAGAAAGCGGGGGAUCGCAAGACCUCGCGCUAUAGGGGCGGCCGAUGGCAGAUUAGCUAGUUGGUGGGGUAAAGGCCUACCAAGGCGACGAUCUGUAGCUGGUCUGAGAGGACGACCAGCCACACUGGGACUGAGACACGGCCCAGACUCCUACGGGAGGCAGCAGUGGGGAAUUUUGGACAAUGGGGGAAACCCUGAUCCAGCAAUGCCGCGUGUGUGAAGAAGGCCUUCGGGUUGUAAAGCACUUUUGUCCGGAAAGAAAACCUUUGGGCUAAUACCCUGAGGGGAUGACGGUACCGGAAGAAUAAGCACCGG